AUCCUGCAUUCUUUCUCUUCUACUGCCUUCAUUCUGCCCGGAAGGAACCAGGUUCCUUUGGACGCGAAGCUAGUUAAGCACUUUGAGAAGCGUUCUCCUUCCCCCAUUGGUAUUGUGCUCCAGUUUGUGCCCAUGUGAGCACUUUGCAAAAAGGCAGACAUCUAACAGGAAAAAGGAAGCCAGUCUGAUUCUCACUGAAUGCUUUUCAACUGCAGAUGUUUUUGAUGGAUACCAUCGAUUUGGAAACCUUAAUUCAUUUAAACAUGAUUCUGAACUGCUCCAAUGACUUCAGGAGCAUCAGGAACGCCUGUGUUGGACUGUGGGCAGACAGACCAAAGUUGCCCUGGAGGGAUCCAUUCAAGUCAAAGCAUGGGAGCUUUCCUCACAGCCUCUUCCCCACUGCCCAUUCUCCCUUCCCUAGGCUUAACAUUCUGUCUUUUGACUACAAAUCUAGUUCUCUUUCCACGGCCCGUCAAGGUCUUCAUUAAAAUAGUCAAUUACAUGAUCACCACUCGAACGGAUGUUAAGACCAAGGAAUGAUUAUGAAGUCAGCAUCAAUAAAGUAAAUAAAGAAUGCUCUUCCUUUUCCUUA
rnacentral:lncRNA from 1 species